CCUACGGGAGGCAGCAGUGGGGAAUAUUGCACAAUGGAGGAAACUUYUGAUGCAGCAAUGCCGCGUGUGUGAAGGAGGCCUUAGGGUUGUAAAGCACUUUCAAUAGGGAGGAAAAGUUAGUAGUUAAUAACUGCUAGCCGUGACGUUACCUAUAGAAGAAGGACCGGCUAACUCCGUGCCAGCAGCCGCGGUAAUACGGAGGGUCCGAGCGUUAAUCGGAAUUACUGGGCGUAAAGCGCGCGUAGGCGGUUUACUCAGUCAGAUGUGAAAGCCCCGGGCUCAACCUGGGAACUGCAUUUGAUACUGGUAGGCUAGAGUAUGGUAGAGGUGAGUGGAAUUUCAGGUGUAGCGGUGAAAUGCGUAGAGAUCUGAAGGAACAUCAGUGGCGAAGGCGACUCACUGGGCCAUUACUGACGCUKAGGUGCGAAAGCGUGGGUAGCAAACAGGAUUAGAUACCCUGGUAGUCCACGCCCUAAACGAUGUCAACUAGGUGUGUGAGAGUUUAUCUCUUGCGUAUCGAAACUAACGCGAUAAGUUGACCCGCCUGGGGAGUACGGUCGCAAGACUAAAACUCAAAGGAAUUGACGGGG
rnacentral:rRNA from 1 species